UACUAGAAUAGAAGUCUAGUAGAAGAGUAGAAGUGUAAAAGUACUAGAAUGUAAGUAAAAUAGAAGUCUAGUACUAGAGUAGAAGUGUAGAAGUCUAGUACUAGAGUAACAGUGUAGAAGUCUAGUACUAGAGUAGAAGUACUAGAAUGGAAGUCUAGUAGAAGAGUAGAAGUCUAGUACUAGAAUAGAAGUGUAGUACUAGAGUAAAAGUACUAGAAUAGAAGUCUAGUACU